CCUACGGGAGGCUGCAGUGGGGAAUAUUGCACAAUGGGGGAAACCCUGAUGCAGUGACGCCGCGUGAGUGAAGAAGUAUCUCGGUACGUAAAGCUCUAUCAGCAGGGCAGAAAAUGACGGUACCUGACUAAGAAGCCCCGGAUAACUACGUGCCAGCAGCAGCGGUAAUACGUAGGGGGCAAGCGUUAUCCGGAUUUACUGGGUGUAAAGGGAGCGUAGACGGCAGCACAAGUCUUGAGUGAAAUCCCGGGGCGUAACCCCGGAACUGCUGUGGAAACUGUGCGGAUGGAGUGCAGGAGGGGUAAGCGGAAUUCCUAGUGUAGCGGUGAAAUGCGUAGAUAUUAGGAGGAACACAGGUGGCGAAGGCGGCUUACUGGACUGUAACUGACGUUGAGGCUCGAAAGCGUGGGGAGCAAACAGGAUUAGAUACCCUUGUAGUC
rnacentral:rRNA from 1 species